CUCACACACACACCUAAGGCCAAGAGAGAAAAUUGUGGGAUUCGUGUAGUUUUGGUGUGGUUUAAGGCUUGAAGUGUGUGCAAGGAAGUAUUUUGGUAAAAGCUCGAUCCCGAUGUUAAUAGAAAGUCCAAGUUAUGAACAGAGAGACGUAGGUGGCCGGGAUGGGAUCUAGGAAUGCAUUAGGACAUUUCAUUUAUGUUACCCUUAAAUUUUCAGUUAUUGUAUCUUUUAUAAUUAUUAUUUCUAAAUGACCGUUUCCGCAUUUAUUAAAAACUCUGAGUUUUAAAAUCAUUAUUAUUUUUAUUUAUUUAAAUCAGCAUACUAGUUAAGAUAUUUGGCAGACCUUACGAAUCUUUGCAGUUUUAAAAGAGAAAGUGACGAACCUAACCCUUAGCGGUUUGGGGGCGUUACAUACUUCAUGGUCCGGACGCUCAAAGCCUUGAUAUGAAAAUUGAGUGCAGCUAAAGUGCAACCGUCCGGACGCUAGGGCAACACCAUCCGAACGUGGCUCUAUUCAAGAAAGAAUUUCAAGCAAAUUUGGAAAGCCAAUCGCAUAGUUGUUCGUCCAGACGCCACCUAGAAAAUUCAAGUCAGACGCAAAUUUGGAUUCCUGUAGCCUAUGAAUAGAGGCCCCAAGGCAUGUUGUUUAUAAGAAUUCGGUAGUGCUUAGAGAGUUUAUUUUAGAAGUUAUUGUGCUGAUCCGCUCACUCUCAAGCCAUUGGCAAGUGAUGUUGCUGUACUGAACUGAAGUCUAUCUUAGGAGUUGGCCCUAAGGUAAAGGAUUCCAUUGAAGACCCCUUCAAGUAGGUGACUUGGUUGGGAGGCGUUCGUGUUGGGUUACACAUCAGAGUGCUAGAUAUGAUCGCUACAUCGGGAAGAAAGAACAGGAGAUCAUGUGGGAAUGCUGCCAAACACAAGGUGGGUAGCCGGCCCAUUUAGCUAAAACAUGUGCCCAAAAAUUGGCGCUUCUAGAGACCUUCAUAGCUUUCCAGUUAAGAAAGGAAGAGAGAUCAAGUCGAAUAUCUGAAAUUAAAGGAGCGAAUU